CUACACAUGCAGUCGAGCGGUAGAGAGGUGCUUGCACCUCUUGAGAGCGGCGGACGGGUGAGUAAAGCCUAGGAAUCUGCCUGGUAGUGGGGGAUAACGCUCGGAAACGGACGCUAAUACCGCAUACGUCCUACGGGAGAAAGCAGGGGACCUUCGGGCCUUGCGCUAUCAGAUGAGCCUAGGUCGGAUUAGCUAGUUGGUGAGGUAAUGGCUCACCAAGGCGACGAUCCGUAACUGGUCUGAGAGGAUGAUCAGUCACACUGGAACUGAGACACGGUCCAGACUCCUACGGGAGGCAGCAGUGGGGAAUAUUGGACAAUGGGCGAAAGCCUGAUCCAGCCAUGCCGCGUGUGUGAAGAAGGUCUUCGGAUUGUAAAGCACUUUAAGUUGGGAGGAAGGGCAUUAACCUAAUACGUUAGUGUUUUGACGUUACCGACAGAAUAAGCACCGGCUAACUCUGUGCCAGCAGCCGCGGUAAUACAGAGGGUGCAAGCGUUAAUCGGAAUUACUGGGCGUAAAGCGCGCGUAGGUGGUUCGUUAAGUUGGAUGUGAAAUCCCCGGGCUCGACCUGGGAACUGCAUUCAAAACUGUCGAGCUAGAGUAUGGUAGAGGGUGGUGGAAUUUCCUGUGUAGCGGUGAAAUGCGUAGAUGUAGGAAGGAACACCAGUGGCGAAGGCGACCACCUGGACUGAUACUGACACUGA
rnacentral:rRNA from 1 species